AUGGGCUCAGGACGAACGCGGGCGGCGUGCUUAACACAUGCAAGUCGAACGAGGGCGUCCCUUCGGGGGUGUUCCUAGUGGCGAACGGGUGAGUAACACGUGGGCAACCUGCCCCCGGCUCUGGGAUAACUCCAAGAAAUUGGGGCUAAUACCGGAUAUUCACCGCGCACCGCAUGGUGGGUGGUGGAAAGGGUUUCCGGCUGGGGAUGGGCCCGCGGCCUAUCAGCUUGUUGGUGGGGUAGUGGCCUACCAAGGCGACGACGGGUAGCCGGCCUGAGAGGGUGACCGGCCACACUGGGACUGAGACACGGCCCAGACUCCUACGGGAGGCAGCAGUGGGGAAUAUUGCGCAAUGGGCGGAAGCCUGACGCAGCGACGCCGCGUGGGGGAUGACGGCCUUCGGGUUGUAAACCUCUUUCAGCAGGGACGAAGCGGAAGUGACGGUACCUGCAGAAGAAGCACCGGCCAACUACGUGCCAGCAGCCGCGGUAAUACGUAGGGUGCAAGCGUUGUCCGGAAUUAUUGGGCGUAAAGAGCUCGUAGGCGGUUCGUCGCGUCGGCUGUGAAAACCCGGAGCUCAACUCCGGGCCUGCAGUCGAUACGGGCGGACUGGAGUUCGGCAGGGGAGACUGGAAUUCCUGGUGUAGCGGUGAAAUGCGCAGAUAUCAGGAGGAACACCGGUGGCGAAGGCGGGUCUCUGGGCCGAUACUGACGCUGAGGAGCGAAAGCGUGGGGAGCGAACAGGAUUAGAUACCCUGGUAGUCCACGCCGUAAACGUUGGGCGCUAGGUGUGGGGGCCAUUCCACGGUCUCCGUGCCGCAGCUAACGCAUUAAGCGCCCCGCCUGGGGAGUACGGCCCGCAGGCUAAA
rnacentral:rRNA from 1 species